rnacentral:rRNA from 1 species
GCUAUCUACAGGCUUAACACAUGCAAGUCGAGGGGCAGCAUGGCCUUAGCUUGCUAAGGCCGAUGGCGACCGGCGCACGGGUGAGUAACACGUAUCCAACCUGCCGUCUACUCUUGGACAGCCUUCUGAAAGGAAGAUUAAUACAAGAUGGCAUCAUGAGUCCGCAUGUUCACAUGAUUAAAGGUAUUCCGGUAGACGAUGGGGAUGCGUUCCAUUAGAUAGUAGGCGGGGUAACGGCCCACCUAGUCUUCGAUGGAUAGGGGUUCUGAGAGGAAGGUCCCCCACAUUGGAACUGAGACACGGUCCAAACUCCUACGGGAGGCAGCAGUGAGGAAUAUUGGUCAAUGGGCGAGAGCCUGAACCAGCCAAGUAGCGUGAAGGAUGACUGCCCUAUGGGUUGUAAACUUCUUUUAUAAAGGAAUAAAGUCGGGUAUGGAUACCCGUUUGCAUGUACUUUAUGAAUAAGGAUCGGCUAACUCCGUGCCAGCAGCCGCGGUAAUACGGAGGAUCCGAGCGUUAUCCGGAUUUAUUGGGUUUAAAGGGAGCGUAGAUGGAUGUUUAAGUCAGUUGUGAAAGUUUGCGGCUCAACCGUAAAAUUGCAGUUGAUACUGGAUAUCUUGAGUGCAGUUGAGGCAGGCGGAAUUCGUGGUGUAGCGGUGAAGUGCUUAGAUAUCACGAAGAACUCCGAUUGCGAAGGCAGCCUGCUAAGCUGCAACUGACAUUGAGGCUCGAAAGUGUGGGUAUCAAACAGGAUUAGAUACCCUGGUAGUCCACACGGUAAACGAUGAAUACUCGCUGUUUGCGAUAUACUGCAAGCGGCCAAGCGAAAGCGUUAAGUAUUCCACCUGGGGAGUACGCCGGCAACGGUGAAACUCAAAGGAAUUGACGGGGGCCCGCACAAGCGGAGGAACAUGUGGUUUAAUUCGAUGAUACGCGAGGAACCUUACCCGGGCUUAAAUUGCAGAUGAAUUACGGUGAAAGCCGUAAGCCGCAAGGCAUCUGUGAAGGUGCUGCAUGGCUGUCGUCAGCUCGUGCCGUGAGGUGUCGGCUUAAGUGCCAUAACGAGCGCAACCCUUGUUGUCAGUUACUAACAGGUUCCGCUGAGGACUCUGACAAGACUGCCAUCGUAAGAUGUGAGGAAGGUGGGGAUGACGUCAAAUCAGCACGGCCCUUACGUCCGGGGCUACACACGUGUUACAAUGGGGGGUACAGAGGGCCGCUACCACGCGAGUGGAUGCCAAUCCCCAAAACCUCUCUCAGUUCGGACUGGAGUCUGCAACCCGACUCCACGAAGCUGGAUUCGCUAGUAAUCGCGCAUCAGCCACGGCGCGGUGAAUACGUUCCCGGGCCUUGUACACACCGCCCGUCAAGCCAUGGGAGCCGGGGGUACCUGAAGUGCGUAACCGCGAGGAGCGCCCUAGGGUAAAACUGGUGACUGGGG